rnacentral:lncRNA from 1 species
GGUGAAUUAGUACCCCCUGGGUGUUUUUCAGGGGGGUUUUUUUGUGUGGAAAGAACCACUAAGGGUCUAAAGAGAAGUGGUCCGGGCUGUGCGGUAGCUGUUAAGACAAGGCUGUGACCAUACCCUGGGUGGUUACAUAGGGAUGGAGUUUGGAACAGUGUCCAGUCUGUCUGGAUUUUUAUGUGUAGAGGGGGUCCUUGGCCCUCCUGGUAUGAACCUUGAAUUGACCGUAAUGAACUCAUGAGCAUCUCCCUUCCCGUGGCCCUCCAGUGCUGGCCUGCUGGCUGCCAGGAAGAGGAGUGCACUCGAGGGGGGCCAGGGGGCCCCCGUCAACAAGCGGAAGUCGCUGCUGAUGAGGCCACGUCACUACAGCCCGGGCCCCGAACCCAGCCAAGCCAGCGACGGAGACGGGGACGGGACGAGGACGAGGACGAGGACAGCGAGGAGCUGGCAGCCGCGCGGGACAAAGACGAGCCCAGGAACAUUGACACUCCAGCAGAGACGAAUGGAGCGCUUGACGCUGCUGUGUACUGCGACCGAGACGCACACUCGCAGGACGACGCCCCGCACUGGUCUGACCACCUGAGCGAGGGGUCGCCUCGGCUGCAGGGCCUGACCUCGGAGAAGAUAGACGAGGAGGACGAGGAUGAGGACGAGGACGAGGAGGAGGAGGAGGAGGAGGGCCUGCGCGAGGUGAACCACAUGGAGGAGAGCCUGCGCGAGAUGGACAUGGCCUACUGCCUGGCGCAGCACCGGAGCCUGGAGCGGGAGCGGGAGAACAGCGAGUGGCUCCGGGGUCCCUCGCCCACCGCCGGCAAGGUCAACGGCAUUCACCUCCACCUCAGCCCCACCAAAUCCACCGACGACCCCUCGGCCAGGUGGACGCGCCUGGGCCCCGAGCUCCACCCGGAGGAUGCCUUCCUGGGCUACUCGGGUCGGCCCGGCGGCCUCUUGGCAGCGGAUGACGUGAGCCUCACCAGGGAGCCCAGCGAGGACAGCGAGGAGGAACUGCAGCACCACCACCACCAGCAGCAGCAUCAGCAUCAGCAGCAGCAGCAGCAUCCGCAACAUCAGCAUCCGCAGCAUCAGCAGCAGCAGCAACAGGCCCGUCUGGAGCCCAGCUGGGUGCCGGGGGUGCCGGUGCGGCCCCUGGGCAUGGAGCGCGCCCGGCUCAACCUGAGCCUCCUGGAGCAGGCCAUGCUGCUGCAGUCGGAGCAGCGUCAGGCGCUGCACUACGCCUACAAGGACAUGGACCGCUUCCUGCUGGAGCAGAUGAGCGGCGAGCGCCGGCACCAGAGGAUGAUGGAGAUGAACGCCGCCCGCGCUGCCUUCCACGGAUGCAAAGGUGCUGUCCCUGCCCCUACU